rnacentral:rRNA from 1 species
AUUGAACGCUGGCGGCAGGCCUAACACAUGCAAGUCGAGCGGAGCGGCGGACGGGUGAGUAAUGCCUAGGAAUCUGCCUGGUAGUGGGGGAUAACGUCCGGAAACGGGCGCUAAUACCGCAUACUAUCAGAUGAGCCUAGGUCGGAUUAGCUAGUUGGUGGGGUAAAGGCCCACCAAGGCGACGAUCCGUAGCUGGUCUGAGAGGAUGAUCAGCCACAACGGAACGGGGAAACGGUCCAGACCCCUACGGGAGGAAGCAGGGGGGAAGAUUGGACAAGGGGGGCAAGCCUGAGCCAGCCAGUCCGGGGGGGUGAAGAAGGCCUUCGGGUUGUAAAGCCCUUUUGUUGGGAAAGCGGUACCCAAAGAAUAAGCACCGGCUAACUUCGUGCCAGCAGCCGCGGUAAUUC